rnacentral:rRNA from 1 species
GGUGAACGCUGGCGGCGUGCUUAAGACAUGCAAGUCGAACGGCAGUCUUCGGACUGUAGUGGCGCACGGGCGAGUAACGCGUAACUGACCUACCCCAAAGUCGCGGAUAACGAUUUGAAAGAAUCGCUAAUACGUGAUGUGCUGUCAGAUUGUGUUCUGCCAGUAAAGAUUGAUUGCUUUGGGAUGGGGUUGCGUUCCAUCAGCUAGUUGGUGGGGUAAAGGCCCACCAAGGCGACGACGGAUAGCCGGCCUGAGAGGGUGGCCGGCCACAGGGGCACUGAGACACGGGUCCCACUCCUACGGGAGGCAGCAGUUAGGAAUCUUCCACAAUGGGCGAAAGCCUGAUGGAGCGACGCCGCGUGAGGGAUGAAGGUCUUCGGAUCGUAAACCUCUGAAUCAGGGACGAAAGACACUUCGGUGGGAUGACGGUACCUGAGUAAUAGCACCGGCUAACUCCGUGCCAGCCGCCGCGGUAAAAC